rnacentral:lncRNA from 14 species
CUGAAUUCCUAGCUCCUUCUCAGCAGACACUGCAGAGUUAAAAGAAUGGGGAGGAGGGAAAGCAGAGUGUCAAGAGUAAACACCUGAACCCCCUUUCAUAAUUUUUUUAUGACACAAGAAUCUGAAUGCUACUAUGACCACGCAGGUAAAAGGGCCUGACACUGAGGAGUCACUGGAUGUGAUAGACAGGUUCCCCAGAACAAGUGUGCAGGAUAUGACUGGAUACACAAGCAACUUGAUGUGGUUUGGCCUAUUAGUACAGGAACUCAUUCCCUGGGCACUGCAAACCCCUGACGAGCAACUAUCAAGCCCAUCACACUCUAAGAUAAGAAAGUACACAUCUGAUAUCUCCCAGAUGCAGACAGUCUGGUAAAUAUUCAGAGAGUGUCCUUUGAUUCUCAUGCUGGACU